rnacentral:rRNA from 1 species
UACGUAGGUGGCAAGCGUUGUCCGGAUUUACUGGGCGUAAGGAGCGCGCAGGCGGUCGUUCAAGUCGCGUGUGAAAGCCCCCGGCUCAACUGGGGAGGGUCACGCGAUACUGAUCGACUGGAAGGCAGGAGAGGGUAGUGGAAUUCCCGGUGUAGUGGUGAAAUGCGUAGAUAUCGGGAGGAACACCAGUGGCGAAGGCGACUACCUGGCCUGUUCUUGACGCUGAGGCGCGAAAGCUAGGGGAGCAAACGGG